rfam:Rattus norvegicus chromosome 14, whole genome shotgun sequence.
GGGGAUUUAGCUCAGCAGUAGAGCGCUUGCCUAGCAAGCACAAGGCCCUGGGUUCAGUCCCCA